AUUACAGGUUUGCACCACAACACUGCUGCAAAAAUUACCCUUAACAUUUGCAGGAAACUUGCUUUCUCUGCAAUAAAGCUGUAGUCCUUCCUUUUGCAGAGGGAGAUUCAGAGUCAGAAGAACCAGCUCCUGCUUCUUUGAUUAUACAGAGGACAUCUGAGCUACCCAGAGACCCAGCCAUCACCUUAUAAAGCCUAGGGCACCACCAGUUCCUGAAAUGCAGGUGUGUGCUAUCCCUGGAAGGCUCACAGAUACUUUGGAGCACAGGGACUAAUGUGGAAGCUGUACUUCAGAAACCUAGAAAAUCAACACUAUGGCUUUGAUCCCAAACCCCGCCAACUGCAGGACGCUGAGGAUUCUGCAGCCAGGAAGAAUGCCGAGGCCUCCUCCGGCCACUCUUCUCCCAGCACACCCGACUUCCAUUAUGCAGGGACAUGCCUGGGCUGGGGGCUGCUGCCAGAAUUCUCCUGGCCCAAACAGGAGGCUCUGGGUUGUGGCCCAGAAUCUUUCCUGAAAAUCCGUGCAAGUUUCCUCCAUCGCUUCCAAUCCUGUACUUUCAUGUCGGUGAGAUUCUGGGCCGUGUUUGGCCUGAGCAAUGCUAAAGCUUGCUCCUGUCUUUCUUCCUCUAUGAGCUAAGUUCUCUUCUCCCUGCAGCCCCUCUGCCCCUCACAGUUGUAAAUAAGAAAGUUCUGCUUUCAGAAACAAUCCUGAAAACGAUGACCAAGUCCGAACUCUUGUCCAUUAAGCCCUUUUAUGGCCCACAGACUUAACUCCUUAAACACGGUUUUUGCUGGGUAGGGUGGAGCAUACCCGUAAUCCCAGCACUUGGGAGGCUGAGGCAGGAGGAUCCUAGCAAAUUAGAGGCCAACCUGGGCUACAUAGUGAGAUUCUGUCUCAAAAACAAAAACAGUUUUCACCUACUGAGAUAACAUUCUUAUGGGAACACUGAUUGGGUUAUUGCUAGCUUGUGUGAUGGGAAAAACCUAGAACGUCCCUCCAAGAGACUUUGGUCACCCCAACUAAACAACCCAGAGAGGCAGACCCAAACGUCUACCUGGUUUGGAAGAACCCCAGAGGUGUUAGUCACCUUGCACUUGCUGAGAAUCAGAGUGGAGGUGAAGCCUGUCCUGCAGUUUAACUGUUUAUGCCAAAGCCAGCUCACGUUUGCAGAAUUCCCCUUGGGGAGCCACGGGCACUGCUGAGCCCUUGGCACAUAUCAUUCAUGCACUCCUAGCCCAGCCCUGUCAGAUUCGCACACUCAUCCCAUCUUACACAGCAGGAAGCAUAGGCUCAGAGGAGACAGGGUGGGACUUGGUGAGCCCUGACUGAGGUCACCUGGCUGAUAAGUGAUAAAGGCACUGCUCAAUUUUGGCUUCAUCUGAUCCCCUAAUCCCCAAAUCUGGGCUCAGCCCCACUCCAAUCCAUGGCCUCCUUCGGGACUUGAAAAUGUAAAUGACACAUUCUGUUCACGAUUAGGAAUUUUCUGGCAUGGUAGUGCACCUCUAUAAUUCCAGCAUUCAGGAGGCUGAGGCGGGAGGGUCACACACACACACACACACAAAGUAGAGCCAGGCAUGGUGGAGCACGCCUAUAAUCCCAGCACUUGGGAGGCUGAGGCAGGAGGAUCACCAUGAGUUCGAGGCCAGCCUGGACUACAUAGCAAGACCCU
rnacentral:lncRNA from 1 species